rnacentral:sRNA from 1 species
GCUAUGAAGAAGGCAGUAGUUUGGGUGUGAUGGAGGGAAGGCAGCAUGGCACGCUGCAUGGAGCCAAAAUCGGGUCUGAGAUCGGGUGCUACCAAGGUUUUGCUUUUGCAUGGAAAUGUCUACUGCACAGUUGCACCACUGAGAAGGACAGCAGAAAGAUGAAGGUCUUAGAAUCAUUGAUUGGAAUGAUCCAGAAAUUCCCUUAUGAUGACCCUACUUAUGAUAAACUCCAUGAAGACUUAGACAAGAUCAGAGGAAAAUUUAAACAGACGGGCCUUUCGCCUUCCGCCGUGAUUGUGAGGCCUCCCAGCUACGUAGAACUCGCCGUGGUGCAACCAGAAACGCACAGACCCAGCCGCCCGCCGCCCAGACCCUCAGACUUGCGCGUCACAGGACAGACUCUGCUGUGCCCCGUGCACUUGCCACCAGCCUUUGGCCUCUCGAUACACACAACAUCCAGGACUUGUGCCCUUGCCCCAUCACGACAGACAAAGCGUCCCUCAAGGCCCCCGCGUGGUUCAGACAGACGCCGCAGCCAGGAUGGUUGAGCAGCAAACAAUGUGAAAGAGAUACACAGAAGCGAUGUGAAUAUUUCCAAACCGUGCCUGGAAGUCAACGGUAGCAGCGCAAUAAGAAAAUGGAGCUGCGGCCUGUCCCCGGUGUGGGCACCGCCCCUUCCCCUCGGGAGCCUCCUCC